GACGAACGCUGGCGGCGUGCUUAACACAUGCAAGUCGAACGGUGAACCUCUUCGGAGGGGAUCAGUGGCGAACGGGUGAGUAACACGUGGGCAACCUGCCCCCGGCUCUGGGAUAACUCCAAGAAAUUGGGGCUAAUACCGGAUGUUCACCGCUUCCCGCAUGGGUGGUGGUGGAAAGGGUUUCCGGCUGGGGAUGGGCCCGCGGCCUAUCAGCUUGUUGGUGGGGUAGUGGCCUACCAAGGCGACGACGGGUAGCCGGCCUGAGAGGGUGACCGGCCACACUGGGACUGAGACACGGCCCAGACUCCUACGAGAGGCAGCAGUGGGGAAUAUUGCGCAAUGGGCGGAAGCCUGACGCAGCGACGCCGCGUGGGGGAUGACGGCCUUCGGGUUGUAAACCUCUUUCAGCAGGGACGAAGCGCAAGUGACGGUACCUGCAGAAGAAGCACCGGCCAACUACGUG
rnacentral:rRNA from 1 species